CCUACGGGUGGCAGCAGUCGAGAAUCAUUCACAAUGGGGGAAACCCUGAUGGUGCGACGCCGCGUGGGGGAAUGAAGGUCUUCGGAUUGUAAACCCCUGUCAUGUGGGAGCAAAUUAAAAAGAUAGUACCACAAGAGGAAGAGACGGCUAACUCUGUGCCAGCAGCCGCGGUAAUACAGAGGUCUCAAGCGUUGUUCGGAAUCACUGGGCGUAAGGCGUGCGGAGGCUGUUUCGUAAGUCGUGUGUGAAAGGCGCGGGCUCAACCCGCGGACGGCACAUGAUACUGCGAGACUAGAGUAAUGGAGGGGGAACCGGAAUUCUCGGUGUAGCAGUGAAAUGCGUAGAUAUCGAGAGGAACACUCGUGGCGAAGGCGGGUUCCUGGACAUUAACUGACGCUGAGGCACGAAGGCCAGGGGAGCGAAAGGGAUUAGAUACCCCAGUAGUC
rnacentral:rRNA from 1 species